rnacentral:rRNA from 1 species
GAUGAACGCUGGCGGCGUGCCUAAUACAUGCAAGUCGAGCGAACGGACGAGACGCUUGCUUCUCUGAUGUUAGCGGCGGACGGGUGAGUAACACGUGGAUAACCUACCUAUAAGACUGGGAUAACUUCGGGAAACCGGCGCUAAUCCCGGAUAAUCUUUUGAUCCGCAUGGUUCAAUAGUGAAAGACGGUCUUGCUGUCACUUAUCGAUGGAUCCGCGCUGCAUUAGCUAGUUGGUAAGGUAACGGCUUACCAAGGCAACGAUGCAUAGCCGACCUGAGAGGGUGAUAGGCGACACGGGAAGGGAGACAGCGUCAAGAGGACUACGAGAGGCAGCAGUAGGGAAUCGUCCGCAAUGGGCGAAAGCAUGACGGAGCAACGCCGCGUGAGUGAUGAAGGUCUUGGGAUCGUAAAAAUCGGUUAUGAGGGAAGAACAGAUGUGUAAGUAACUGUGCACAGCGUGACGGUAACUGAUCAGAAAGCCACGGCUAACUACGUG